AUGUCACUCUUCUCUUAAGGCGCUUCGCCCACGUCCGACAAAUCGGUGACGGAUUUUUUGGUCGGCAAAAAAUGAAACAUACAAAUUGCAAUAUUGAAACGCACACGU